AUGGCCCCGCCCCCCACCUCCGCUGCAGGCCUGCAGCAGCGGCGGCUCCUCAAGGCGGCGGCCGACGGCGACCUUGGCCGCUUCAAGAGCAUCGCGAGCGCGCUGGAUGGCGGGAAGGGCCGCGUCAGGGAGGCGGUGGAGGCCGCCAGGGACGGCGGAUCCGGGCCGCUGCACGCCGCCGCCCGCCACGGGAGGAUGCCGGUGUGCGUCUACCUCGUCGAGCAGCUUGGCGUGAACGUCGAUGCCGCAGACGACAAAGGUGAUACACCUCUGAUGUAUGCACUUGGUUGGGGGAAUUUGGAUACUGUGAGGUAUCUCCUUGAUCAUGAUGCUGAUCCAGAAAAGCGUGGUGAACACGGAAUGACCGCUCUACAUGUGGCAGCUGGAGCAGGAAUGUGUGAAAUGAUAGAGGUCUUGCUCUCAAAAGGAGCUGAUGUUAAUUCCGUUUCUUUCUGUGGGACACCAUUGCAUGCUGCUAUUACCGGAAAGCAUGAUGCUGCUGUGAAGACCUUGUUGGAUCAUCAUGCAGAUUGUAACAAGGCAAUGGCCAUACAUUAUACGCCCCUGAUCGCUGCUAUCCAUGUUCGCUCACUGAAGUGUGUGAAACUUCUGAUUAAGGCGGGUGCUGAUGUGAAGGGUGUUGGUCCGCUAACCCCGUUAAUAGCCGCUGCGGAUGAUGGUUUAACUGAUUUCUACAAACCUUUACUUGUGGCUGGUGCUGAUCCUAAUGUUCGCGAUGAUGGAGAUCAACUGCCAAUAGAGAUUGCUGCACGUAACAAUAGACGGAAAGAUGUUGAGAUCCUUUUUCCGGUGACAUCUCGUAUUCCAUAUGUGCAUGAUUGGAGUGUUGAUGGGAUACUUGCUUAUGUCAAAUCAGUGCCAAAGGAGGAGGACGACCCGUUGUACAAAAUGGGGCCAGCUUAUCUGAAAUCAGAAGGAAACAAGGCAUACAAGAGAAAAGAUUAUGUUUCUGCAAUAAAUUUCUACAACAUGGCAACCAAGCUUGAUCCUGAAGAUGUAGCCUUGCAUUCAAAUAGGAGUGUUUGCUGGAUUAACUUGGGUGAAGGAGACAAGGCCUUGGAGGCAGCCGAAAUGUGCAGGAUGAUACGUCCUGAUUGGCCAAAGGCCUGUUACAGGCAAGGGGCGGCCCAAAUGUUUUUCAAGGGAGGCAUUCAACUCGAUGAAGAUAUCUCGUGCCAAAACGGUCUCAUGAACCGCCAUCCUUUGAUCAGAAGAGACCUACCCAAGGCCAAGCUGUUUCUGUGCGUGCUUCCCCUUCGAUGUUUAAAGACGUUGAGUUGA
rnacentral:rRNA from 1 species